rnacentral:tRNA from 1 species
GCGUUCUUAGCUCAGUCGGUAGAGCAUCAGACUUUUAAUCUGAGGGUCGUGGGUUCGAGUCCCACAAAAUCGCG